UGGGGAAUAUUGGACAAUGGGCGAAAGCCUGAUCCAGCAAUGCCGCGUGAGUGAUGAAGGCCUUAGGGUUGUAAAGCUCUUUUACCCGGGAUGAUAAUGACAGUACCGGGAGAAUAAGCCCCGGCUAACUCCGUGCCAGCAGCCGCGGUAAUACGGAGGGGGCUAGCGUUGUUCGGAAUUACUGGGCGUAAAGCGCACGUAGGCGGCUUUGUAAGUUAGAGGUGAAAGCCCGGGGCUCAACUCCGGAAUUGCCUUUAAGACUGCAUCGCUAGAAUUGUGGAGAGGUAAGUGGAAUUCCGAGUGUAGAGGUGAAAUUCGUAGAUAUCUGGAGGAACACCGAUGGCGAAGGCAGCCUUCUGGGCCAACACUGACGCUCAUGCACGAAAGCGUGGGGAGCAAAC
rnacentral:rRNA from 1 species